GUCUCGGACACACACUCUGCAGCACCAGGCUGAUCCCAUACACAGAUGUCAGGAGGAAGGAGACGAGUGUGAGAAGGAAGCUGCGAUGGUUGGCCUGCCCUACGCAGCUGUUGAUCCUAAACCAGACUAUGACAGCAACGUGUACCCGGGAAAGAGACGACAGACAGGACCACAUGCUGAUUGAUGGGACUUUGUACCAGCCUAACAACACGUCUCCUCCCUGACAGAAAGACAGAAUAACACUGCUGCAAGGAUUCAUGCGCAACAUUUGUCAGAAGUGUGACAGCAGAGAAGAGCCAUCUGACAGCAGCAGAAGGACAGAAGACCGAGGACAAGAGGAGUUCACGGCAGCAGGAGGAGGAAGAAUUCUCCCUUGAACUUCUGUUUGAUUCAACCGUUUGACCCAGAACUGGUCAUCAAUCACCAAAAGUACUAGGAAUAGGACUGCUACAUUUCUCCUCUUUCACAGUUUCCACAGGCCCGUACUGUGUUUUCAACCUUGAAUUACCAAACGCUUUCUUUAAGCUUCUCACCUCUCACCUGGAGCCACCUGUUGGAACAUAAGCUCCUGUUCUCUUCAGUGACCUCUGUCCUGCUCACAUUAACGAAGCCCAGCUUUAGCUUCGAUCAACCGUGGCGUCAACAUGACACCCAGGUGGGCAGAGGAGUCUGUGGAGCAGCGAGACACUGUCCCUGAGGAUCAGAGCUCUGGAAGACAAGGAGAAAGAGUAGGAGGAGGACAUGACUAACACGGAGACAUAGACACACAGCACUCAUCUAAUCCAGACUAUCUUAACAAGAGAAACAAACAAUGUGUGUGACAAAUGUGUGUUUUCGUUCCACAGAUUGACAAAAGUCUCCUCCCGUGAGUUUGAACAGAUGACAUAACAUCAUUAACCUCCCGGGCUUUCAGUAAAACAACAAAUCCCCCAUGAAUGAGGCGAAAAUUUGUGGAUAAGGUUGCGCCACAAGAGGGCGUACAUUGGGUUUUCUUAGAUUCCAAAGACCGUCAUUUGAGGUCUGUUGCAUUGUUGUAUUUCUUCUACUUUUCACGCAGGGACUUAAUUUUUAUGGUUGAAAGAGCAAGUCAAAUGACUAUGUAAUGAAGGUUUAUCCUAAUUAAAAUAAAAACUGCAGUUUGGGUAAAA